GGAGUCUAGCAUGUGCGCGAGUCAUUGGGACUAAACGAAUCCUAAAGGCGCAAUGAAAGUGAAGGUUCGUUUUUGCACGGACCGAGGGAGGAUGGGUGGUCUGCAAUGGCCGCCCCGCACUCCCGGGGCGUCUCGUUCUCAUCGCGAGAAGAGGCGCACCAAGAGCGUACACGCUGGGACCCGAAAGAUGGUGAACUAUGCCUGGUCAGGACGAAGUCAGGGGAAACCCUGAUGGAGGUCCGUAGCGAUUCUGACGUGCAAAUCGAUCGUCGGAACUGGGUAUAGGGGCGAAAGACUAAUCGAACCAUCUAGUAGCUGGUUCCCUCCGAAGUUUCCCUCAGGAUAGCUGGCGCUCGUUGCGCACGAGUCUCAUCCGGUAAAGCGAAUGAUUAGAGGCAUUGGGGUCGAAACGGCCUCAACCUAUUCUCAAACUUUAAAUGGGUGAGAUCUCCGGCUUGCUCGAACUAUUUUCUGAAGCCGUGAGACACGGAUCAGAGUGCCAAGUGGGCCAUUUUUGGUAAGCAGAACUGGCGCUGUGGGAUGAACCAAACGUCGAGUUAAAGCGCCUAAAUCGACGCUUAUGGGACACCAUGAAAGGCGUUGGUAACUUAAGACAGCAGGACGGUGGCCAUGGAAGUC
rnacentral:rRNA from 1 species